AAAAUCUAGUGUCUGCUGCUAAUUCGUAUUCAUUCCCCGUACCGUAAUUAGUAUUCAUGUGCACUAUGCGAGCUUGCGCACUCUUCAACAUGUGGGAAGACAAUCCAUUGGAAUUUCAAUUUC
ensembl:ncRNA F45B8.17 ncRNA